UACGUAGGGUGCGAGCGUUAAUCGGAAUUACUGGGCGUAAAGCGUGCGCAGGCGGUUUUGUAAGUCAGAUGUGAAAUCCCCGGGCUCAACCUGGGAACUGCGUUUGAAACUACAAGGCUAGAGUGCGGGAUGGGAGAGUAGAAUUCCUGGUGUAGCGGUGAAAUGCGUAGAUAUCAGGAGGAAUACCGGUGGUGUAGACGGCUCUCUGGACCGCCACUGACGCUGAGACACGAAAGCGUGGGUAGCAAACAGG
rnacentral:rRNA from 1 species